UGUGCGUAUAACAUUGAGAAUGGCAUGGGAUUGUCAUAGAAACUCAUCUGAACACUCUAAAUAAAAAUGGCUGGGGAUUAGUCACAGUAACAUGUGGGACAUCAUGAAACUCAAGACAGAUUUCUUUGUUUUACAGUCAGUAAGAGAAGUGAGGCUAACUUGAUCGAGUUCAUGAGAUGUUAGCAGUUCAGUUUCUCCAGGGAAAACCUUGUUGUCUUCAGAUUAAAUAAGCCACAUGGAUACAAAUACCAGAAUUCACCUGAUGAUUUUAGCAAUAUCGAAGGAAAUUUUUAUAGAGUAUUCUCAUUGUCUCUGUCCAAAAUCUGGAAAAAGGAUUGCUUGUCUUUAAAUUUGGAAUGAAUCCCCAGUUGCAGAUUCCCACCAGGGUGAUGUUUCAGUAAACGAACGUAUCAGCCUUGGAUCCUUGAGCUUUUGGAGGUUUGUUCUAUGUUACAAUAAUUAAAACCUCAACUUCUGGCAAAUUCCUUUAUGCCCAGUGAAAUAGUAUAAAUUAUUGGUUAGCCCUCCGCACUCAGAACGUGGAAACCUUUACAUCUGUCGCCAAAGAAUACGAAACUAAUAGGUGUUUCUCAGAGAGCCCCAUCCGGGUCCCAUAACCCCGAGCUAAUAAUUGAAGAUCUUUAAAAAUCUAUUAGUGCCUAAUCAUAUGGUCUAUCGAUCAUGAGAUUAAUCGCCUGCUCAAAGAGGCAGCAGGUCUUGUGGAAUGCUGCACUGCGCCAGACUGAACUUCAACCUUUUAUACAAACCGGAGGAGUCAAAAUCAUCAUUCACUGCCUGCAGCCCCUGGUCCCCAGGCCUCCUGAACCCCAGGAGAUUCUCAUUUUGGAAGAUUUAUCACUGGGCCAUUAAAGUUUUCUUGGGCUAAGACUUUCCAAGAGUGUCACGAUCUGAGACCCCUACCCCCCUUUUUGUGGAAUGUGUUUAUUUGAAGAUAGAAAUAAUGAAGUCCAAAAACAUUAUCACACAGUAGCACAUGUCUGCAAAGACAGGACACUUUAAAAUAUCAAUCCAAGUUAAAGUUUCAUUGCAAAAGUUUCAUGGACCCUUAUUAGCAUUAAUUAUUAUGUGUGUGUUGGUGACAGUCCUACAGUGAGUGCAUUAAUAAUUAAAACCCUUGAGAAAACUUUAAACCCUCAUGGACUCAUAGAGCUGGAAGAGACCUAAGAGAUCAUCUCUAAGCCCCAUUUCACAGAUAAGGAAAGUGCAUAUUACAAGAAAAAAGACUUUGGACUCCUUCAGACCAACCACAUAGCUUCUCUGCUGACCACAAAAAGGAAGCUUGGCGUAGAAGCCAUAGGAUUAAUACCCACUGUCUCUUAACCCAACAGAGUGUGAAAACUUUUAUAAGAGAUUUCUCUGGGCAGACUGACACUGUGGUUGGACUUGAAACAUUUUAAAUCAAGAACAACUUGGAAUUGCAUUAUGCCACAGUACUCUGUAAAUUGUUAUGUGCGAUCCCACUGUUAAAAGUUGUUUACAUGAAU